GGGCGGUUAGCUCAGAUGGUUAGAGCGCCUGCUUUACACGCAGGAGGCCGCAGGUUCGAGUCCUGCACUGCCCACCA
rnacentral:tRNA from 1 species